rnacentral:rRNA from 1 species
AUUGAACGCUGGUGGCAGGCCUAACACAUGCAAGUCGAGCGGAUGAAGGGAGCUUGCUCCUGGAUUCAGCGGCGGACGGGUGAGUAAUGCCUAGGAAUCUGCCUGGUAGUGGGGGAUAACGUCCGGAAACGGGCGCUAAUACCGCAUACGUCCUGAGGGAGAAAGUGGGGGAUCUUCGGACCUCACGCUAUCAGAUGAGCCUAGGUCGGAUUAGCUAGUUGGUGGGGUAAAGGCCUACCAAGGCGACGAUCCGUAACUGGUCUGAGAGGAUGAUCAGUCACACUGGAACUGAGACACGGUCCAGACUCCUACGGGAGGCAGCAGUGGGGAAUAUUGGACAAUGGGCGAAAGCCUGAUCCAGCCAUGCCGCGUGUGUGAAGAAGGUCUUCGGAUUGUAAAGCACUUUAAGUUGGGAGGAAGGGCAGUAAGUUAAUACCUUGCUGUUUUGACGUUACCAACAGAAUGAGCACCGGCUAACUUCGUG